rnacentral:rRNA from 1 species
UACGGAGGAUCCAAGCGUUAUCCGGAUUUAUUGGGUUUAAAGGGUGCGUAGGCGGCCUAUUAAGUCAGUGGUGAAAGCCUGGAGCUUAACUCCAGAACUGCCAUUGAUACUGAUGGGCUUGAGUAUAGUUGAGGUGGGCGGAAUGUGUCAUGUAGCGGUGAAAUGCUUAGAUAUGACACAGAACACCGAUUGCGAAGGCAGCUCGCUAAACUAUAACUGACGCUGAGGCACGAAAGCGUGGGUAGCAAACAGG